rnacentral:rRNA from 1 species
GAUCAUGGCUCAGGACGAACGCUGGCGGCGUGCUUAACACAUGCAAGUCGAGCGGAAAGGCCACUUCGGUGGUACUCGAGCGGCGAACGGGUGAGUAACACGUGAGUAAUCUGCCCUUGGCUUUGGGAUAGCCACCGGAAACGGUGAUUAAUACCGAAUAUGCACUACUUCUCGCAUGGGUUGUGGUGGAAAGUUUUUCGGCCAGGGAUGUGCUCGCGGCCUAUCAGCUUGAUGGUGAGGUAA